GAUGAACGCUGGCGGCGCGCCUAACACAUGCAAGUCGAACGGAGUGGCGAACGGCUGAGUAACACGUGGGAACCUGCCCUCCUCUUGGGGAUAGCCUCGGGAAACCGAGGAUAAUACCCGAUACGGAAAGAUGGGCCCGCGGCCUGUUAGCUUGUUGGUGGGGUAGAGGCCUACCAAGGCAAUGAUGGGUAGCUGGGUUGAGAGGAUGAUCAGUCACACUGGAACUGAGACACGGUCCAGACUCCUACGGGAGGCAGCAGUGGGGAAUAUUGGACAAUGGGCGAAAGCCUGAUCCAGCCAUGCCGCGUGUGUGAAGAAGGUCUUCGGAUUGUAAAGCACUUUAAGUUGGGAGGCGUUACCAACAGAAUAAGCACCGGCUAACUUCGUGCCAGCAGCCGCGGUAAUUC
rnacentral:rRNA from 1 species